CAAGAAUAUAGACUUUAGUUUUUGUGAACCUUUACAAUUACAGUAAAUAGAUGCAAUAAUAAUAAACUAAAUAAAAAUCACCACGCACCAGGAAAGUAUCUAUUCUUACAUAGGUAGAAACAUGAAACAAUCCAUCACCAUUGUCAAAAAUGCACCAAACGUGUCUGGUAGCCUGAAGGCCAAAUUGGUGCAUUUUUGUCAAUGGUAGUGGAUUGUUUCCUGUUUAUGAAAAACAUGAAAUUAAAUGGACAACAACUAAGGACAAGUUCAGCAAGCAUUCCUCUUCACUGGAAUCACCAGUGCAAACAGCCAUUUCUAGAAAACCAAACUACAUUGCUCCUACUGAUGUACAUUGGCAAAAAGAAAUGAAUUUCAUGCAAAAAAAUUGAUGCCUAAAACUCAUAGAAUCUUUUGCAUAAAUUUAGUGGAACAGCUAAGAAUCAACAAAUCCGCAUGAAAUAUACAGCAUAGAACAAAAUUAAGUUGAAACAAAAAGAAAUGGAACCAAACCCUAAUUCCCUAACCGAG
rnacentral:misc_RNA from 1 species